rnacentral:tRNA from 2 species
GCGAUUGUAGCUCAGUUGGUAGAGCAGCAGGCUGAAUGCGCGUCGGUGGUUCAAGUCCAUCCAAUCGCACCA